UUCUGGGGCAAUCAGGCACAAUCUUGGAAACAUGAACUCCCCCCUUUCUGUAUGUACAAUAAUAACAAUAUCCCAAAUUUGAAUCUUUUAUUUUGUCAAUCUUGGCACAGUUUGGCUUUAAAAGAUGUGGAAGACAUCCAUCCACACUCUGAUGGCCUGUGCAUGACCCUUCCUCUCCAAGGUCCAAGGCAUUCGUUCCAUACUAAUGAUAAGAAAACCCGAGUAUGAUGCCAGGCUGUGUUCUCAGUGCUACGCAUAUGUAGAGUACAAUCCACACUCCUCCAACAAUCCUACAACUUGACACUAAUAUUGAUUCCUUGAUCAAAUGGGGAAACUGAGGGCCACAGAGGUUUAGUAACUUGUCCAAAGUUAACAGCUAGUAUUGGGUGGAAGCAGGAUUCCAUCUCAGGCUCUAUGGAUUCCACGUCUGUGCUUGUCACCCCGACCCCUUCAUAGAGGAGGGGCUAAAGCAGAACCAGUGCAGCAGGUCUGAUUAAAGUGCUGAAGAGCAAGAGACACAAAAAUGAAGAUAAAGACCCACAGGAAAGGAGACAACAUCAACAGGCCAGUGGGUCCCAGUCCCUCUUUUGUGCUGGGGCUCCGUUCUUUCUGGUUCUGCACUUUCCCAGCUUAUGAACCAAACAUCUGUCACUGUUACCUUUGUUCACUUGACUCCCCUGUGUUCUUCAGUUUGAUUGACAUCCAGGCUCCAUUCUCUUACACUCCUGACCUUGAAUUCCAUUUCUAGCCUGUGCUUCCCCCAGGCCCUGACCUCCAUACGUCCAACCCUGGCCAAGUACCCUGAUCCUGACUCCUAAUUGCUCCCUUUGCUUAACUGUCUAUUUGAAUGGCCAGGUCCUAAAUUGGCAUUUGGCUCUGAUUAAUUGCAGCCUGGGGGUCAGCAGUGGAGGUCUCAAUCACUUCUCAGUCUCUAGAGUAUCCAGACUUGACCUCUGUUAGCUAAGCAAUAGAGGACACCACACCCACCUGUUGACAAUAAAGGCGGCCGUGAAACACCAUGAGCUGGUGUGCAUGUCACAGAUGCACCUCAGCCAGCAGGAAGACCACCAGGGGCUGACUGCCAUCUGCUAAGAGGCAAGCACGGGUGGAUUGACGGUGUCUGACCUCUGAUUCCUUUCAGGGUUACAAUUUUUGGAUAGUGGCAUUCAGAGGCCUGGGGAAACCACCAUUCCAGGAACAGCUGGCAGAAGUGGCACCGGUGAAGCCAUUAAUGGCCUGCAGGAGCAGAGACUAAGUUUUAAGCCAGAAAGAGAGGUCUGGGGCACAGGGCAGUGGUUCGCAGAUGAAGGAUGUGAACUGAGGAGAAGGAAAAGAACUGUGUGAUCUGUGAGGGAUAUUGGUGGGAGAGAUGAGUCAGUGUGUAGAUCCCAAUAAUGAGUACGGUUCAACUCAAAGGCCUGUUCUUUCCCAUAAGAGUGGAAGGGAACGAGAGAUGUAUUCAUCUCAGAGCAGCAGAAAGUAGGGGCCUUGCUCGCCGGAUUCUCGAGGUUCAUAUCUGGGUGUCAGUUCAUUAGAAGGGCCACGCAGAGAGUGCAGACAAAGAGAAGAUCUGGUUCUUAUAUUUGUAGGUACGUGUUGGCUGCCGGCUGUGUGUGCUUGGCCACUGUGGGUGUAUUCUUUGGCUUUUCAGAGGAGGUUUAUGGAAGCAUGUUCACAUGUACACCCACCUUUGCCUAUUUCUUAAAUCACUUGCAGAAUUCAGCUCAUUGUUUCACAGCCACCCCAUAGGAUAUUAUUAUGGUCUUACUAUGACUUUCAUUAUCCCAUUUGUGAGUGAUGAAACAGCACAAAUGGUUAAGCGACUUGCGUGAGGUCACACAGCCACUCUGGACUCUUGGGGACUAUGCUACACUGCUGUCAUGGAAACUAUGGCAGCUACUCCCUCUCUACCUCCCACAGAUUCCAUAUCGUCCUGCCUAUCCCCCCUCAACAGCCCAACAGCUAUGGGUAGAGGUAGACCUCUCCCUGGGACAUGGGUGGACGCUGUUUAAACAAGAUCAGCCAUGUGUUUUCUCCUGGAAAUACAGAUUUGAUCCACGGAAUUAGUGGAUAAUGGGGAGUGUGAUGUAGAACAAAGGAUGCUGGCUAAAAGGGUCACAGGAUUGAUUCAGAAACAAGAUGAGAAAAAAAAACAAGCUCAGAAGAAUAGCCUCACAGCCAGAGAAGCCAGACCACUGGUGAAACACCCCGGAUUCGAGGUAAUUUGGAUCGACCUAGAAAGAGAAUGCUUGGAGUUAAAGAAGUCCCUCCUGCUAGAGUGGGCAGAGCUGCUGGGGAUUCAAAGACGAUGGCCAUGUCAGCGCAUGGCGGGAAGGCAGUUCCGAAGAACUCUGUUAGGUCGCCAUAGUACGAAGAGGCAAGACUCCGUGCUAGAAACGUGGAAACCUCCCCCGAAAGUCAACAGAGGAGCCUCUCCCUGGCUGCUUAGGCUGCCCUCUCGCAAGUAGACCAUAUAAGUCUGGCAAAUAGUGAUGCUAAUAGCGUCAGUGGCUCCUCUCUGAGUUCCUAUGACCAUUAGUGCCACCGCUGCUGCUACUACUAAUAAGAGCUCGUAUUUAUCGUCUGCUCCCUCUGUGCUAAGCACAGCAGUACAGAUGAUCUUGUUUAGUCCUCGGUCACUAUACUCACAUAAGCAAUAGGGACUUGUUCACGGUCACACAGCUUGUUCAGGGGCACAAACCAAGGCCUCCCCAAUCUAGAGCCUUCCCUCCCCUCAACCACACUGUGCAUCACUUUCUCAGUAAACUUUCAGUACAAUUUUCAUUUUCAUGCUCCCUUUCCCAAGACAGUACAGCAUCUUUCAUGUUCAAAAUACAUGGUGCUUUGGUUCUUUGUAAGUGUUCUCCACCUCUAUCAGAUAACCAUGAAUUUAGCACUAGCCUUAGGCACCUCGGUAGGUCCCCAAUCGAGGAGAAACUCCAUCCCCCUGGGUAUUCCUUCACUCUCUGGGGCAAGCUUGCCUCCUUUCUGUUUGAACCUGCGUGACUUGGAAGUCAGUUGUAAGUUUAAAGCCGUCUCAUCAUCUCUCUCCCAGAAGUCACUGAAUCCUACACUACCUUUCUUCUCCCCAGUGCUAUGCUGAUGGGGUUAUCUCCCCAGCACCUCAUCACAGAUAUUAUCAUGAGUAGUAAGUGGUCAAGGACAGAAGACCAAACCAAACUCAACCUUUCAUCACUGUAGCACACAUGAUAUAACUCCUGUCGCAGUCCUGGUUUAGGAGCAGCCUAAAUCUCAUUUUCUUUGGAUCCCCUAGCCUUUCAGAGUCUGAGGAACUAUUCUAUGCUUUCAGGAAAUGUUAAAAAGACAACUGCCAGACUAAUGAAUGUUUUGAAUAAAGAUAUGCUGACUUAAUUUGGAUAAAUGUCAUAUCAAAUAUAUCAAAAUUGACACAUUUUAAUUGACUUAAUUUUCUAACUGAAUUAAAAUAUAGACAUGCAACUUUAGAGCUACAAUUCAAAGACCUGUGGAAAAUACUGAUGUUUUCCCUCAAUUGCUUCUUCCCAUGAAAUGUUCUUGGAAAUAGCAUUAUACUUUAGCAGGCAAACACACACAAAAAAGCUAACUAGGUAAUUACCAGGUUAGGAUCCUCUUACUAAUAUUUUCAACAUGGGGUCAGAGCAUCACCAAUGGUUGUGUAACAGGUAAAAGUGCCAAUUUCUGGCCCAGUCCAAUUCUGGCAAAAUAGAACUUCUAGACUGGGAGUUUGGGAAUCACCAACCUCAAGUUUUCCCGAGUCCUUCUCCUUUCCUCCUGUCCACUGCUCUAGGGCCUCCCCUCACAUGGCCAGCUCAGAUGCAGUGCGUACAGACUGAAGUGCCAGGAACAACAGACCUUGGCCCGGCAUCAACUUACUUUCUACACCUUGGACAGAUGUCAGCCCGAUACUAGGCCUUCCUGUCUUCCCUAUGCUUGUCAUAGGAUUCACUCAAAUCAGGAGUAUGUUUGAGUAGAUUACCUAUAGCAAAAAGACAUGCAAGUAUCUGAACCUAUCAUUGAAUAAAGAUUUAUAUGAAAGAUCUCAAACACACCCAUUGGUCUUCUUCUGUCAGAUAAAAAUGAAGGGAUAAGAACUGAACCACUGAGGCACUGGGAGAACCACUGCUGGCAGAGGGGCACAGAAGGGCCAGGCUGGUUCUGAUGGCCUGGCUGAAGGCAGAGGCACUUUCAGCACCUGGGUUUAUGUUUCUCAUAGGGAAGUAGAGUUAGACUCUAAGCAAGACUUGUAUGAGUCACCCUUAUUCUCAUCCUAUACUAUGCCCCUCUUCAUUGUGCUCAAGGCUAACAGGUCAUAGAUACCAAUUAUUUAUUUACAAAAUAUCACCACUAUAGGAUUUAUUGCUGAGCUCUUUGAUCUAUUUGGCUUUUGGUUUAGAUUCAGCAUACAAGGUGAGACAAUAUUUGCAAUUUUUUAUUUCUUUUUUUUUGUAAGAUUUGUUUAUUUAUUUGAAAGUCAGAGUUACACAGAGAGAGAAAGAGAGGCAGAGAGAGAGAGAGGGAGAGAGAGAGAGGGAGGAGAGAUCUUCCAUCCGCUGAUUCAUUCCCCAAUUGGCCAGGAUCCAGGAGCUUCUUCCAGGUCUCCCAUGUGGGUACAGGGGCCCAAAGACUUGGGCCAUCUUCUACUGCUUUCCCAGGCCAUAGCAGAGAGCUGGGUUGGAAGUGAAGUAGCCAGGACUCGAACCGGCACCCAUAUGGGAUGCCAGCACUGUAGGUGACGGUUUUACCCGCUACGCCACAGCACCAGCCCCUGUAAUUUUUAUUUUUUAACAUGAGGAAUCCUGCCUACCUUGUAUGCACCUAGUUUCCAAAUUCAUUGGAGGGAUGCUAAAUAUCCAAGUUCAGCAGCACCUUUAACUAGUCAUUUAUCCAUUGCUCUAUUCAUUCAUUUGCCAAUUUUUUUCUGAGUACUUACUAUCAGAAGCAUGGAUUUUGUCCCAGUUGUUGGGGAAAAAAAAGUGAUAAAUCAAUAGUGUAAUCUCUGCCUACAUAGAACUUUUGAUCUGAUGUGGGAGUUUGUAAGUAAAUAAAUAUUUUAUUUACUUUUUUAUUUUAUUUACUUUAUUUUUUUAAUUUAUUUUUAUGAUUUUUAAAUUUAGUUUAAAGGAAGAGUGACAGAAUGAGAGAGAGACUGACAGAGAGAUCUUCCAUCUGCUGGUUCACUCCCCAGAUUGUUGCAAUGGUCAGAGCUGCACAAGGCUGAAGCCAGGAGCCCAAAACUCCAUCCAGGUCUCCUAUGUGAAUGACAGAGUCCCAAGUACCUGGGUCACCUUCCACUGCUUUCCCAGGUGCAUUAGCAGGGAGCUGGGUCAGAACAGAACAGAUGGGACUCAAGCCAGAGCUCCGAUAUGGGAUUCUGGUAUUGGAAACAGUGGCUUAACCUGCUGCACCAUGCCAGCCCCAAAUAGGCAUUUUAAUAAGGGAUGAGUGCUAUGGUUGAAUAAUACAGGCUCAGUAGGAGAGAGCCAACUAUCAGAACCAAGUAGGCAAGAACUAGAGACAGUGAACUUGAUAUGGUUCUUUGGCAAUCAUCCAGGUGU